UACAGAGGGGGCGAGCGUUGUUCGGAAUUACUGGGCGUAAAGGGCGCGUAGGCGGCCUUCUAAGUCGGACGUGAAAUCCCCGGGCUCAACCCGGGAACUGCGUCCGAUACUGGAAGGCUUGAGUCCGGGAGAGGGAUGCGGAAUUCCAGGUGUAGCGGUGAAAUGCGUAGAUAUCUGGAGGAACACCGGUGGCGAAGGCGGCAUUCUGGACCAUUACUGACGCUGAGGAGCGAAAGCCAGGGGAGCAAACGGG
rnacentral:rRNA from 1 species